UAGAGAUCCCUCACCAGGGGCAUAGAAUGCACCUCCUGUUUCUAUGUGACUCACGACAUCUGGCAAGUGCUGGACACACAGUGGAGACUCACCUGUUAUUCCUUUAUUGGCCAAUUACAUCACAAUGAAGCAGAACUCAAGGUUCAGAACUGAGGCAUAAACCAUGCUUAGAUUUCAUAUACCUUUGAUGUUCUUGCCUUCUCCGGAAUGCAAUCCACAUCUUGCCUCAUAUGGAUGCCUCCCCAAGACAUAACGGAUGCCCAGGAACAAGGCCUCUGCAGAACUCCAGAGCUUUUACGUGCAAUCAGAACAGCAGCAGAACUUUUAAACUGUGAAACAAUGAAUCAAGAGAGGAUGAAUCAAACGAGAAAUGGCACUGUUCUUCCUUCCUCCUUCUCCCGUGUCAUGUCCAUGCUGUCCAGGAUGCCACUGAUGAGGCUGAAUUGAAACCUCUCCCAGCAGAACCACGAGCUUCUUUUCAAGAGCAUCCCAGCACCUGGACAGCACAGAGCAUGGAAGGUGCUCUGUAUUCAACUGAAUGAAGAAAAUCUUCUGUACAUUCUCAAGUGUCCAAAGACAAUAAAACACGACUAAAUCUCGAGCUUUCUUUAAA
rnacentral:lncRNA from 9 species